UACGUAGGGGGCAAGCGUUGUCCGGAUUUAUUGGGCGUAAAGAGCGUGUAGGCGGCCUGAAAGGUCAGCUGUGAAAACUCGAGGCUCAACCUCGAGACGUCGGUUGAAACCAUCUGGCUAGAGUCCGGAAGAGGAGUGUGGAAUUCCCGGUGUAGCGGUGAAAUGCGCAGAUAUCGGGAAGAACACCCGUGGCGAAGGCGGCACUCUGGGACGGUACUGACGCUGAGACGACGAAAGCGUGGGGAGCGAACAGG
rnacentral:rRNA from 1 species